AUUGAACGCUGGCGGCAGGCCUAACACAUGCAAGUCGAACGGUAGCACAGAGAGCUUGCUCUCGGGUAACGAGUGGCGGACAGGUGAGUAACGUCUGGGAAACUGCCCGAUGGAGGGGGAUAACUACUGGAAACGGUAGCUAAUACCGCAUAACGUCGCAAGACCAAAGUGGGGGACCUUCGGGCCUCACACCAUCGGAUGUGCCCAGAUGGGAUUAGCUAGUAGGUGGGGUAAUGGCUCACCUAGGCGACGAUCCCUAGCUGGUCUGAGAGGAUGACCAGCCACACUGGAACUGAGACACGGUCCAGACUGCUACGGGAGGCAGCAGUGGGGAAUAUUGCACAAUGGGCGCAAGCCUGAUGCAGCCAUGCCGCGUGUAUGAAGAAGGCCUUCGGGUUGUAAAGUACUUUCAGCGGGGAGGAAGGCGGUGAAGUUAAUAACUUCACCGAUUGACGUUACCCGCAGAAGAAGCACCGGCUAACUCCGUGCCAGCCGCCGCAGUAA
rnacentral:rRNA from 1 species